rnacentral:lncRNA from 1 species
ACAGAUAUCUAUUGCAUGCCAUCCGAAUAGGCUUCUUGUAAACAUCUAGAUCUGUGACUGCGACUCAUUCAGCAGUAAACAUCGACGAGGUUAGCGUUAUGCCCAACUGAUCAAUAAUUGCUUGAUUAUAACCGUUUUGAAGACCACCACUUUAAUCCAAAAUAGUCAACAACCAUAAUCAUUAUACGCAAAAGCAAAAUGG